rnacentral:rRNA from 1 species
UACACUCCUGCGGGAGGCAGCAGUGGGGAAUUUUGGACAAUGGGCGCAAGCCUGAUCCAGCCAUGCCGCGUGCGGGAAGAAGGCCUUCGGGUUGUAAACCGCUUUUGUCAGGGAAGAAAAGGUUCUGGCUAAUACCUGGGACUCAUGACGGUACCUGAAGAAUAAGCACCGGCUAACUACGUGCCAGCAGCCGCGGUAAUACGUAGGGUGCAAGCGUUAAUCGGAAUUACUGGGCGUAAAGCGUGCGCAGGCGGUUAUGCAAGACAGAGGUGAAAUCCCCGGGCUCAACCUGGGAACUGCCUUUGUGACUGCAUGGCUAGAGUACGGUAGAGGGGGAUGGAAUUCCGCGUGUAGCAGUGAAAUGCGUAGAUAUGCGGAGGAACACCGAUGGCGAAGGCAAUCCCCUGGACCUGUACUGACGCUCAUGCACGAAAGCGUGGGGAGCAAACAGGAUUAGAAACCCCAGUAGUCCCAUG